rnacentral:lncRNA from 1 species
GGUGAGGUGAUUAGGCGAGACAUGGAGCAGUUACAGCUCACCGAGGACAUGACCCUAGAUAGGAAGGUCUGGAGGACGCGAAUUAGGGCAGAGGACUAGGGCCAGUUUGAGUCGCUAGUGUAGGGGAUUACUUGGUGGGGUUUUUUUUCUUGUUAGGAGUCCGUGUUCCAUGUUUUAUUAUAAAUCUGUGUGCUUUCCUCUGUUUUAUAUUACUUAUGGGUGUCGUAUUUAUGUUAUGUAAUCUUGUGCUGUGCUUUACUAUGUGUUUGUGUGGUAUCUCGUGUCUUGAGCCGGGGGUCUAUUGGAAACAGCCUUUCUACUUCUUCAGAGGUAGAGGUAUGGACUGCGUACAUCUUACCCCCCCCAGACCCCACUAGGUGGGAAUACACUGGGUUUGUUGUUGUUGUUGUUGUUGUU